rnacentral:rRNA from 1 species
GCGAUCCCAGGUCAGGCGGGACUCCCGCUAGUUU